AGAGUUUGAUCCUGGCUCAGGACGAACGCUGGCGGCGUGCCUAAUACAUGCAAGUCGAGCGGAGUUUGAGAAGUGCUUGCACUUCUCAAACUUAGCGGCGGACGGGUGAGUAAUACGUAGGCAACCUGCCUGUAAGACUGGGAUAACUGCCGGAAACGGUAGCUAAUACCAGAUAAUCCAUUUCACCGCAUGGUGGAGUG
rnacentral:rRNA from 1 species